UUUCUCCUGGGCCAUUAGCUCAGGUGGUUAGAGCGCACCCCUGAUAAGGGUGAGGUCCCUGGUUCAAGUCCAGGAUGGCCCAUAUCUCUAUGUUGGGGGUAUAGCUCAGUUGGUAGAGCGCCUGCUUUGCAAGCAGGAUGUCAGCGGUUCGAGUCCGCUUACCUCCACUGAAUACCACCUCUUACAUAUAGUUGAAGUGGGAAAUUGUUUUGAGUCGUGUCCUAAUUUGCUCUGAGCGAAUCUAGCUUCCUAUUUUAUCCAAGAAAUAAGAUGCUGGACUCAUUGAAUUUUUUUUCAUUGUUUUCAGAGAACCUUGACAACUGCAUAGAUUAUUUUUAAAGACAAUAAGCAUCUUUAAUGAUGCAGAUUUAUUAUUUGUGCGAAUGCAUUAAAUAACAAUUCUAUUAAGCUGAUGCUUCAAUUAUUGAAGUUAUUGGUCAAGCUACAAAGGGCUCACGGAGGAUACCUAGGCACACAGAGGCGAUGAA
rnacentral:tRNA from 1 species